rnacentral:rRNA from 1 species
UGGGGAAUUUUGGACAAUGGGGGAAACCCUGAUCCAGCCAUCCCGCGUGUGCGAUGAAGGCCUUCGGGUUGUAAAGCACUUUUGGCAGGAAAGAAACGUCGCGGGUUAAUACCCCGCGAAACUGACGGUACCUGCAGAAUAAGCACCGGCUAACUACGUGCCAGCAGCCGCGGUAAUACGUAGGGUGCAAGCGUUAAUCGGAAUUACUGGGCGUAAAGCGUGCGCAGGCGGUUCGGAAAGAAAGAUGUGAAAUCCCAGAGCUUAACUUUGGAACUGCAUUUUUAACUACCGGGCUAGAGUGUGUCAGAGGGAGGUGGAAUUCCGCGUGUAGCAGUGAAAUGCGUAGAUAUGCGGAGGAACACCGAUGGCGAAGGCAGCCUCCUGGGAUAACACUGACGCUCAUGCAUGAAAGCGUGGGGAGCAAACAGGAUUAGAUACCCUGGUAGUCCACGCCCUAAACGAUGUCAACUAGCUGUUGGGGCCUUCGGGCCUUGGUAGCGCAGCUAACCGCGUGAAGUUGACCGCCUGGGGAGUACGGUCGCAAGAUUAAAACUCAAAUGAAUUGAC